UGGGGAAUAUUGCACAAUGGGGGAAACCCUGAUGCAGCGACGCCGCGUGAGCGAAGAAGGUUUUCGAAUCGUAAAGCUCUGUCCUAUGAGAAGAUAAUGACGGUAUCAUAGGAGGAAGCCCCGGCUAAAUACGUGCCAGCAGCCGCGGUAAUACGUAUGGGGCGAGCGUUGUCCGGAAUUAUUGGGCGUAAAGGGUACGUAGGCGGUCUAUUAAGUCAGGUGUGAAAGCGUGAGGCUUAACCUCAUUAAGCACUUGAAACUGAUAGACUUGAGUGAAGGAGAGGAAAGUGGAAUUCCUAGUGUAGCGGUGAAAUGCGUAGAUAUUAGGAGGAAUACCGGUGGCGAAGGCGACUUUCUGGACUUUUACUGACGCUCAGGUACGAAUGCGUGGGGAGCAAACAGG
rnacentral:rRNA from 1 species